rnacentral:lncRNA from 1 species
UUCCACAGAUCUCACUAGUAUUUUAUUUUUUUAGUUACUUUUUGUACAAUAUCAAAAUAUUAAAACUAUCCUCUCCAAACAAUAAAUGUGCACAUCUUUCUAUAAUUUUUUGAAGCUAAUGAAGAGCAAUAUGCUGAAGCUAGUGGGCCCAGUUAUUUAGAAUUGAAACCAGCAGACAUGAAGAUUUCUUACGUUAAUGUUUCAAGGAAACCCGAUGGCACGGAUGGUACUUACAUUAACGCUUCAAAUAAACCUGCUGAAUUCAUAAAUUGGAGCUGAAGGUAGGUGUGCAAAAAGUAACUGAAAAGGAUUACACUGGAUUACGUUUUUACAGGAGGAAAAAAAAUUAAGCGCAUUACCAAAAUAUUGGUUUCAAAUUUUGACACAAGGCCAGCAAUUUCAGGGGAGUGGUUAAGUUGAUUACAUCAACACCAAUGC